GGAGAUCUGGGGCAGCGAGCUGUGCGUCUGGCAGCGCAGGUCCAGCAGCGUGGGCCCCAGGAAGGCUAUGCACAGGCCGAAGCUGAAGAAGACGCUCCAGUAGCUGCCCGUCCCACCCGCGUCCUUGCACGGCCCGCUCGGGGGCGGAGGGGCCUGAGCCCCCAUUGCAGAGCUGGGCGAACUGAGCCCGAGGCGUCCUGGAUGCUCGCACAGCCUGGAGGGCGGGCUCUUCCAGCGCUCCGCGUCCGCUCGGGGAGCGACAGUUUCCCCCCAGACUCCGGCCUGGCUUGGGCUGUGCCGUGGAGGAACCCCGGAGCACAGCCCCCUACACUUCGGGGGCUUCACAGAUGGACUUCGAGGGUCUGACAGCGCCCCCAUCUUUCCCUGGAAUAGAAGACAAUCACCUACAUACAUGCUUUUCUUGGGAGAGUAUUCAUGGCUUUCAUUAGCACCUCCAGAGGACUUCUAGAACCAUAGAUGGUCAAAGCUGGAAGGAACCAUCUCCAACUUGAGUCUCCUAUUCCCACCCCAUCACUGCUGAAACUUCUCCGGAAAAAUCCUACCCAAUCCCCAAAUUCCAGCAAGCCCCCAAUCCCCUCCUGACCCCCUAUAAUCUUCAGGGUCAGCUGUUACACCCAGGGACUGCCGGCUUCCUCUUCCUGCCACCCUGCCUCCCCUGCGGCCAGUUAAACGUGCCUCUCCUCCAACGAAGGGCUAUGAGCUCGGCUCUUCACUGAGUGCCAGGACUGGCUCUUCGGUGAGAGCUGUUCGCCCUCUCCUGACUUCCUGACUCCCGCUUACACUUGGACGUUGAUAAGCAAUCCAUCAGCCACCCGGGAUCAAGCUCACAUCUGGGAUCCCAGCUCAGCGGGGAGCCUGCUUCUUCUCCUUCCCUCUCGAAACCCCCCUCCCACCGCUUGUGC